UACGGAGGGUGCGAGCGUUGUCCGGAAUCACUGGGCGUAAAGGGCGCGUAGGUGGCUCGUGAAGCGUGCGGUGAAAGUCCGAGGCUCAACCUCGGAUCGGCCGUGCGGACUCGCGGGCUCGAGCGUUGUAGAGGCGGGUGGAAUUCCGGGUGUAGCGGUGGAAUGCGUAGAGAUCCGGAAGAACACCGGUGGCGAAGGCGGCCCGCUGGGCAACUGCCUGACACUGGAUGCGCGACAGCGGUGGGGGCAAACAGG
rnacentral:rRNA from 1 species